AUAAUUUAAGACUGGAAUGAAAGAGUUGACCCAAAGAAAUUUAUUUUUUUUAUAGCUUUCAAAUUUUACUUUUUAGUAAAAAGGCUAAUAUUAAUAUUAAAGACAAGAAGACCCUGUAAAACUUUACAUAUAUUUAUCUCAAAACUAAAAAACAUGUUUGACUGGGGCGGUAGAAAAUACAAACAUUUUAUAAAAAUAUAAAAACUUACAAUACCCAGAAUUUCUGAAAAUUAAUCAAGCUACUUCAGGGAUAACAGCGUUAUUCAUUUUAAAAGAUCUUAUUGACAAAUGUGUUUGCGACCUCGAUGUUGGAUUGU
rnacentral:rRNA from 1 species